CAGUCCUUCUUUGCAUAUAAAGUUGUUACAACUUGGAUCUAAAAUGACCUCAAGGAUCUCACAUGUGUCCAAGGUGACUGGAUCCUGGGGCGCUGUGCUCCUCAGUGGCUCCAUCACGGGUAGUGAUUCUACAGCCAAAACCUGAAGGAGCCAGGUACGGUGGAGUCUGCGGAAAUGUGUCCUGUUCACUCCUGCACCGGGGCAUGAGUAAUCAUGCAGGGAAGGCACUUAUUUUCUCUCUGCACCAACUUCUAUAAAGUAUGCAUCAAAGUGCUGCACUGAGGACAAAUCAGGCAACAUAUUUGAACUAUAAAAGCAUAUUGUGGGGAUUGAGGAUUUACUAAAUCUGUAAGUGCAAUCAGUUUCUGAACUACUUGUGGUUAAAGACACUAACCUGGUGUGCAUCUGAGUCUGGUGACACCGUGUUGCUGGGCUCGUACUGAUGUUAAAGGGCUUGGUUUUGGAUGAGGUGCCCCUUGGUGACCUUGGUGUGCUCUGCUUGCAUGCAGGCAUAAGUAGCCCUUUGUGCCUGCCCAAACUCACUCUGUGUGGGCUGGGACCUCUUGGGGUGACCUUGGCAGCAUGGCCCAUCCACACUGCGGGAGCUGUGUGUUGUGGCUUCGAAGGAUGCAGCAAAAGGAGCCCCCACGUCUCCUGCCCACUUCCCAAGGGGCUUUCCCUCCCGAGACUCUGGUCCAGAUGUGUUCUGCAGCUGGAAGGACACACAUGGCCCACACAUAGAUGCUCUUGGCCUAAGAAACAGUAUUUCAAACUGGUGUUUGCCUUUGCUCCUUUCCUCUCUGCAGAGAAUGUCCUGAAGGAUUCCAGGGAGUGCUAAUGACGUCUCUUCCUUUCCUCCUGUCCAGCUUUCUUGGCCCAUGCAUAGCAGCCCCUGGCUCUACCCUGCUGUUUGUGCAGCCUGGAUUUCCAGAGUAGAAACCUCACCUCAUCCCCUCCCCAUUUCUUGUGGUCUUGCAGAUUGAACCCAGGGCCUUCACACUGAGCUGCAUCCCCAGCCCUUUUUAGCUUCUAUUUUGAGACAGGAUCUUGCUAAGGUGCUAAGUUGCCGGGACUGUGUUUGAUCUUACAGUUCUCCUGCCUCAGCCUCCCACAGUGCUGGGAUGGCAGGCGUGCGCCACCACCUGGACCCAGCUGUUCUCCAGCGAUUACACUACUGCUGUCCCCUGAGCAAAGAGAACCAUGAAGAACCGCACAGGAGGUUCGCCACGGACAAACACAGCCAAGGCGGGACAGCUCUGCCUUCCCUCAUCCAGGGCUACUUCUGCCCCAGCCCCAGGAUGCAGGGACCUUCUCCAUCAUGCCAGGCUUCACACUGCCUCCACAUGGGUCAAGGCCAGGUGCUGUGUGGGAAGCAUCUGACCUCUGCUUCUCCUUGGGGCCACACCUUCUGUGACACUCCAGGUCAUUGUCCAUUGCCAUAUGUAGCAGAGCUGGGAUUUGAAAGGCGCACCAGGAGAGUCUGUGUCCAUGAACCCCAAACCAUGCCACCUUCCUGGGAACUACAUUGUGUCAAUCAAGGUUUCACUGGCAGGCAGUGUAGUGGGGCACAGUGGGGAAAUUACCUUUCUGGCAUUGCCAAGUGGGUGACAUAUAAGACCAUGCAGCAUGGAACCAGAAGUGCAACUAUAGGACACAGAAACCAAGAACAGAGUGUGUACUUAAUUAGAUCACACGUGGUGCUAGGGUUUAGGUCUAGAAUCCCUCCCAAAAAGCUCCUGUGUUCAGAGCUGGAGCUUUUAGAAGGUGACAGAUCAUGGUUGCUGUGUUCAUCAAUGGAUCCAUCAUGGAUGCGUUCACAACUGAAUGUGCUGUAAGAGGUGGCCCUGGUUGGAGGAGGUCACUGGGGUGAGACCUGGAAAGGUGCAUUCCUGUCCCCAGCUCCUCCCUUCUCCUUGCUUCCAGGCCAUCACAAACUAAGCUAUUUCUGCCUUGGAGCGCUGACCAUGGACUGAAUCCUCAAUAUACUGUGAGCCAAAAUAAACUUCUCUUCGAUAAACUGUGGGUAUCUCUUCUCCCAGUGAUGAGAUCAACCCUAACCAGUUCUCAGGCUCUACAUGGUGAUGGGAAGGAGCUGCUGUCUCCAGGUGUAUUUCUUGGGGACACUGAUGAUGGAUUUCUGUGUUUUGCCAUCUGUAAUUGCUUCCCGUGGCAUGGGUCUGAGCCCUAAGAGUUCCCUGACUUCCACUUCCCACACUUCCAAAAGGGCAUCACACUCACUGUAUGGCUCAGGAAACUGGUUUACAAUCCUCUGUUUGCCACUAAUGAAGCUCUCUGGACAAGUUAUGUAAUCUCACUAACAUUCAGCUCCAUGUACACAACAGGCUACUCAGGGUAGCCCUAAGGUGACACUGAGAGAACUCUGAAGAGCAGCCCAUGUAGGAAGUUCAGCCAGCUCCUGCCAUUAGCACCAUGCCCAGUGGACAUUCACCGUCAUCUUGAAGGAUGAUUAAUGCUUUGUCAUUAUUUUCUCACCAAAACCUUUUUUAACAGGAAAAAAAGAAAAUUCCUGAGUAAAGCAAUCUCCUCAUUAAGACCUUACAUGUGCUGUGUGGACCGUAAAAGACCACACUGCCCUGCUUGAGAGUCAGCAAGGCUCUGGGUGGACCAUCCCACACCAGGCCACUGUCCCGAGGAGAAGCCACCCCAGCACCUCUCCACAUAGCCGUUGUUCACCUUAAGAGGUCUUUCCCACUGUUCUUCCAGUGGGAAAGUACGGCCCAAGCUUCAGGACCUGACAAGAGAGGUUAUUAUUGUCCUCAUCAUGGUACAAAUGACCAGACUCCAGUUAGCCCAAACUUGUUCCAAGGGUCAGACUUCACAAGUGACUUUCACAGGGCACUCACUUUACCCGUACUCUGCAGGAGUCUGAGUGAUCCUCUCUCGUCAGGGCUGUGACAUCAUUGCAAAUGUACAAGCGCUGGCCUGAGGCUUAAUGCAUUGCAGCCAUCCUGCAUUCUCAACUUAGGCUGGGGCUGCGGUUCCUCUGCCUAAAACAACACAGUCACGGGCCACAUGAAAGCAAUUUUCCCACCAGCACCUUCUUCUUAUUUUCCAGGCUCUCAGAGAACAGCCACCUCUCUCACCUUGCAGCCACCUCAGAUUGGAGCAUGGGACACAGCUGUCUGUGUGGCCCUUGGGGAAAAGAUGUGGCCCCUAGACUACUCACAGGACUGGGGGCCUCAGUGAACGCAGAGGGCAUCACAUGUGCCAGUGUGGCUGGGACUGGAUGCUCUAGACAUGCAGCCAACGGACACUGAGCUCCCACCAAGGGCCAGGGAAGCCCCUGAAGUGAGCCCAAGUAGGAGGACGAACGGAUCGGAUUUCUCUCCCGAAAGAUGACAAGCCACAUGGAGAACAAGCUGGUGGGAGAGAGAGAGCAAUCUUGAAUAUCAGGCUCAGUUGUCACGUAAGAGGGUGAAACCGUGCGAGAUGGGUUGUAAUGUUGGACCCACGCUGGCCCAUGGAUCCCGGUGAGAUGAAAAAUGUAAAGGGAGGAAUCUUAAUGUCAGUGGCACAGCCAGGACAUCACAACAGCUGGAAAUCAACACUAGCGGGGUCCCGGGCGGGCGGGGUGCAGGCGCCCUGUGACCUGUGUCUACCCUGUCCCUCUCCUGAGCAUUCUGGAAAUCUUUCCUGAGCCUAGGGAAAUUUUCAUUUGAUGAAUUAAU